CCUGUCUGACCUGGAGCUGUUCUGAGGUGUUGUUCCUGCAGCUGACCUCGAGGCCAGAGCACAGGACCUGGUGACCUGUGGCCUUCCGAGGCUUCUGUUCUGCAGUGCCCUCGAGGGCAGAGCGUGGGACUUGGUGCCCCGGAGCUUUUCCAAGGCAUCUGUCCUGCAACUAGCUCCAGUCACUGACAUGGAGCAGAGACCCCCAAGAGACCCUAGGAUGCCCUGGGUGGAGGAGGAGGAAGAAGGCCCUGGAGCUGACCCAGGACAGGAGACAGAAGAGGUGGUGCCGUUCCAUCCACCACAGGAGGAUGCAGCCGUGGAGCGCACACAAGAGCAGCAAUCCAGCCGUGGCCGCUUCCGCAGAACAGCGCAGCUCGUUUGCGAAUUCAUUAAGAGUGUUCGGCAGGAAGAGGCCAGGGCCAUGGGCACUGGGCUCCGAGCACACUCAGAGGUCCUCAGACAGGAGACCAG